rnacentral:rRNA from 1 species
GAUGAACGCUGGCGGCGUGCCUAAUACAUGCAAGUCGAGCGAACGGACGAGAAGCUUGCUUCUCUGAUGUUAGCGGCGGACGGGCGAGUAACACGUGGAUAACCUACCUAUAAGACUGGGAUAACUUCGGGAAACCGGAGCUAAUACCGGAUAAUAUUUUGAACCGCAUGGUUCAAAAGUGAAAGACGGUCUUGCUGUCACUUCUCGAUGGAUCCGCGCUGCUUUAGCUAGUUGGUAGGGUCACGGCUUACCACGGCAACGAUGCGUUGCCGACCUGAUAGGGGGUUCGCCCGCACUGGAACUGAGACACGGUCCUGACUCCUACGGGAGGCAGCAGUAGGGAAUCUUCCGCAAUGGGCGGAAGCCUUACGGAACAACGCCGCGUGAGUGGUGAAGGUCUUCGGAUCGUAAAACUCUGUUAUCAGGGAAGAACAUAUGUGUAAGUAACUGUGCACAUCUUGACGGUACCGAAUCAGAAAGCCACGGCUAACUACGUG